rnacentral:tRNA from 1 species
GGAAUAGCUCAGUUAGUAUAGCAGAGGACUGAAAAUCCUCUUACCACCAAUUCAAAUCUGGUGGUUCCU